rnacentral:rRNA from 1 species
GCAUGCGAAUCUCGAAAGCCUAUCUCAGUUCGGAUUGGAGGCUGAAACCCGCCUCCAUGAAGUUGGAUUCGCUAGUAAUCGCGCAUCAGCCAUGGCGCGGUGAAUACGUUCCCGGGCCUUGUACACACCGCCCGUCAAGCCAUGGGAGCCGGGGGGUGGCCUGAAGCCAGUGACCCAACCUUAAGGAGGGAGCUGUCGAAGGUGGAGCCGGUAACUGGGGUGAAGUCGUAACAAGGUACC